rnacentral:rRNA from 1 species
UGUGUAGGCGGAUUUCUAAGUACCUUGUGAAAUCCCACGGCUUAACCGUGGAACUGCUUGGUAUACUGGAAGUCUUGAGCCACUUAGGGGCGAGCGGAACAAAUGGUGGAGCGGUGAAAUGCGUAGAUAUCAUUUGGAACGCCAAUGGUGAAAACAGCUCGCUGGGAGUGUGCUGACGCUGAGACACGAAAGCUAGGGGAGCAAACGGGAUUAGAUACCCCGGUAGUCCUAGCCGUAAACGAUGUCGACUAGAUCGUAGUGCCUCUGACGGUAUUACGGUCGAAGCAAAAGUGCUAAGUCGACCGCCUGGGAAGUACGGUCGCAAGGCUAAA